UACGUAGGGAGCAAGCGUUGUCCGGAAUCAUUGGGCGUAAAGCGCGUGUAGGCGGCUUGGUAAGUCUGCUCUGAAAGCCCGGGGCUCAACCCCGGGAGGCGGGUGGAUACUGCUGAGCUCGAGUCCGGGAGAGGCGAGUGGAAUUCCUGGUGUAGCGGUGAAAUGCGCAGAUAUCAGGAGGAACACCGAUGGCGAAGGCAGCUCGCUGGGACGGUACUGACGCUGAGACGCGAAAGCGUGGGGAGCAAACAGG
rnacentral:rRNA from 1 species